GAUGAAGAACGCAGCGAAAUGCGAUAAGUAAUGUGAAUUGCAGAAUUCAGUGAAUCAUCGAAUCUUUGAACGCACAUUGCGCCCGGCAGUACUCUGCCGGGCAUGCCUGUUCGAGCGUCAUUACAACCCUCAGGCCCCCGGGCCUGGCGUUGGGGAUCGGCGGAAGCCCCCUGCGGGCACAACGCCGUCCCCCAAAUACAGUGGCGGUCCCGCCGCAGCUUCCAUUGCGUAGUAGCUAACACCUCGCAACUGGAGAGCGGCGCGGCCACGCCGUAAAACACCCAACUUCUGAAUGUUGACCUCGAAUCAGGUAGGAAUACCCGCUGAACUUAAGCAUAUCAAUAAGCGGAGGA
rnacentral:misc_RNA from 1 species